rnacentral:lncRNA from 1 species
UUUUGAUGAAAUCACACAAAGUUCAAUUUUGGACCCUUUGGGCCCCUUAUUCAUAAACUGUUAGGACCAAAACUCCCAAAAUCAAACCCAACCUUCCUUUUAUGGUCAUAAACCUUGUGUUUAAAUUUCAUAGAUUUCUAUUUACUUAUACUAAAGUUAUGGUGCAAAAACCAAGAAUAAUGCUUAUUUGGGCCCUUUUUUGGCCCUUAAUUCCUAAACUGUUGGAACCAAAACUCCCAAAAUCAAUCCCAACCUUCCUUUUGUGGUCAUAAACCUUGUAUCAAAAUUUCAUAGAUUUCUAUUCACUUAAACUAAAGUUAU